rnacentral:rRNA from 1 species
AGGACGAACGCUGGCGGCACGCUUAACACAUGCAAGUCGAACGGAGGUAUUUGGUUACUGAGAUACCUUAGUGGCGGACGGGUGAGUAACACGUGAGCAACCUACCUUAGAGAGAGGGAUAGCUUCUGGAAACGGAUGGUAAUACCUCAUAACAUAACUGAACCGCAUGAUUUGGUUAUCAAAGAUUUAUCACUCUGAGAUGGGCUCGCGUCUGAUUAGAUAGUUGGUGAGGUAACGGCUCACCAAGUCGACGAUCAGUAGCCGGACUGAGAGGUUGAACGGCCACGUUGGGACUGAGACACGGCCCAGACUCCUACGGGAGGCAGCAGUGGGGAAUAUUGCACAAUGGGGGAAACCCUGAUGCAGCGAUGCCGCGUGGAGGAAGAAGGUUUUCGGAUUGUAAACUCCUGUCUUAAAGGACGAUAAUGACGGUACUUUAGGAGGAAGCUCCGGCUAACUACGUGCCAGCAGCUGC